rnacentral:rRNA from 1 species
UACGUAGGCAGCAAGCGUUGUUCGGAGUUACUGGGCGUAAAGAGUGCGUAGGCGGUUUUCCAAGUCUGUCGUGAAAUCUCCCGGCUUAACCGGGAGGGUGCGGUGGAAACUGGGAGGCUCGAGUGUGGGAGAGGUAAGCGGAAUUCCUGGUGUAGCGGUGAAAUGCGUAGAUAUCAGGAGGAACACCGGUGGUGUAGACGGCUUACUGGACCACGACUGACGCUGAGGCACGAAAGCGUGGGUAGCAAACAGG